rnacentral:rRNA from 1 species
AACGAACGCUGGCGGCAGGCUUAACACAUGCAAGUCGAACGAGAUCUUCGGAUCUAGUGGCAGACGGGUGAGGAACACGUGGGGACAUCCCUUUCAGUUCGGAAUAACGUUGGGAAACUAACGCUAAUACCGGAUACGUCCUUCGGGAGAAAGAUUUAUCGCUGAAAGAUUGGCCCGCGUCUGAUUAGCUAGUUGGUGAGGUAAUGGCUCACCAAGGCUACGAUCAGUAGCUGAUCUGAGAGGAUGAUUAGCCACAUUGGGACUGAGACACGGCCCAAACUCCUACGGGAGGCAGCAGUGGGGAAUAUUGGACAAUGGGCGCAAGCCUGAUCCAGCCAUGCCGCGUGAGUGAUGACGGCCUUCGGGUUGUAAAGCUCUUUUGUCCGGGAAGAUAAUGACUGUACCGGAAGAAUAAGCCCCGGCAAACUUCGUGCCAGCCGCCGCCGUAAUAC